UUCCAGGUGUUAUCAAACAUAGGUUACUGGUUGGUUUCUUGAAAUGGGGGAUUUGGAAACUGCUGAUUGAAGUUUCUGGUGAUUUGAAGUCAAAUAGAUCUCAAUUAAAACAAGUGGCGGAAGAAACCUCUUGAAAGCUUAAUACGUCUCAGUAUGCUGUCAUAUUGGUUGAUAUGCCUGGACAGGGCAUAGGGCAGAGACCAACAAUAUGAUGACAUUUUUAGACUAUUUUACCCUUGUAUUAAAAUUACUUAUUGGUAUACCUUUAUCUCUAUUGGUAAUGUUGUUCCAUGUGUAGUGAUGAAUACAUGAGGGACAUGGGUUAUAUGA